rnacentral:rRNA from 1 species
GACGAACGCUGGCGGCGUGCCUAAUACAUGCAAGUAGAACGCUGAAGGAGGAGCUUGCUCUUCUGGAUGAGUUGCGAACGGGUGAGUAACGCGUAGGUAACCUGCCUGGUAGCGGGGGAUAACUAUUGGAAACGAUAGCUAAUACCGCAUAACAGUAGAUGUUGCAUGACAUUUGCUUAAAAGGUGCAAUUGCACCACUACCAGAUGGACCUGCGUUGUAUAGCUAGUUGGUGGGGUAACGGCUCACCAAGGCGACGAUACAUAGCCGACCUGAGAGGGUGAUCGGCCACACUGGGACUGAGACACGGCCCAGACUCCUACGGGAGGCAGCAGUAGGGAAUCUUCGGCAAUGGACGGAAGUCUGACCGAGCAACGCCGCGUGAGUGAAGAAGGUUUUCGGAUCGUAAAGCUCUGUUGUAAGAGAAGAACGAGUGUGAGAGUGGAAAGUUCACACUGUGACGGUAUCUUACCAGAAAGGGACGGCUAACUACGUG